rnacentral:rRNA from 1 species
CUUAACACAUGCAAGUCGAGCGCCUAUCUUCGGGUAGGAGCGGCGAACGGGUGAGUAACACGUAGGUUACGUACCCUAUGGUGGGGAACACCCCGAGGAAACUCGGAUCAAUGCCCCAUAUGCCCGCAAGGGUGAAAGCGCUUCGGCGCGCCAAAGGAUCGGCCUGCGGCCCAUUAUUUAAUCCUAGUUGGUGAGGUAACGGCUCACCAAGGGUACGAUGGGUAGCUGGUCUGAGAGGACGAUCAGCCACACUGGAACUGAGACACGGUCCAGACUCC